AAUGGGCGCAAGCCUGAUCCAGCCAUACCGCGUGUGUGAAGAAGGCCUUCGGGUUGUAAAGCACUUUAAGCAGGGAGAAAAAGUUGUAAGUUAAUACCUUACAACCGUGAUGUUACCUGCAGAAUAAGCACCGGCUAAUUCCGUGCCAGCAGCCGCGGUAAUACGGAAGGUGCAAGCGUUAAUCGGAAUUACUGGGCGUAAAGCGCGCGUAGGUGGUUUGUUAAGUUGGAUGUGAAAGCCCUGGGCUCAACCUAGGAACUGCAUCCAAAACUAACUCACUAGAGUACGAUAGAGGGAGGUAGAAUUCAUAGUGUAGCGGUGGAAUGCGUAGAUAUUAUGAAGAAUACCGGUGGCGAAGGCGGCCUCCUGGAUCUGUACUGACACUGAGGUGCGAAAGCGUGGGUAGCGAACAGGAUU
rnacentral:rRNA from 1 species